rnacentral:lncRNA from 1 species
UGAUCUAAAAUGUACAAUCUUCUCUUGAACAAUGUAUAAAUAACUAAACACAAUCAUUUAUUUGCCAAUGAAUGAAAAUGCAAUAAUAACAAUAAUAAAAGCACGUUGAAAUAAGCAUUUUAAUAUUAAAAAUCAAAUACUGAAAUUAAUUAAAGGUCGGUAAAAUUACAACUGUAAUUCCCAUCACAAAUAGCUAGCCCAUUUUAUACAAAUUAAAAAAAAAAGGAGAAUAUUUCAUAUAAUACAUUGCAAAUACGAGAUAAUAAUGAAGAAAAUAAAAGAGUGAAAAUAAAACCCUUUUUGGAUUUGGAUUCUUGAGAGCUUGAUCUUGAUUGUCCCCAACUAUUUCUCCAAAUGCAUUCUCCUUUUUUGCUCUUGAUUUUGCCUCAAGAUAUCAAGAAAAAUGGAAAGAAAACGAAGAAAAGAAAGAAAGGAGAAAUAAAGAAAAUGAGAGAAAAUGAAAGAUGAAGAAGACCCAGCAAAAGAAG